GGCCGGGUGAUCUAGUGAUGAGGACGUUAGCCGCGUAAGCUGAAGACGCGGGUUCGAUUCCCGCCUCGGCCA